UGGGGAAUAUUGCACAAUGGGCGCAAGCCUGAUGCAGCCAUGCCGCGUGUAUGAAGAAGGCCUUCGGGUUGUAAAGUACUUUCAGUCGGGAGGAAGGUGUCAAGGUUAAUAACCUUGGCAAUUGACGUUACCGACAGAAGAAGCACCGGCUAAAUCCGUGCCAGCAGCUGCGGUAAUCCGGAGGGUGCAAGCGUUAAUCGGAAUUCCUGGGCGUAAAGCGCACGCAGGCGGUUGAUUGAGUCAGAUGUGAAAUCCCCGGGCUUAACCCGGGAAUUGCAUCUGAUACUGGUCAGCUAGAGUCUUGUAGAGGGGGGUAGAAUUCCAGGUGUAGCGGUGAAAUGCGUAGAGAUCUGGAGGAAUACCGGUGGCGAAGGCGGCCCCCUGGACAAAGACAGACGCUCAGGUGCGAAAGCGUGGGGAGCAAACAGG
rnacentral:rRNA from 1 species